UACGGAGGGUGCAAGCGUUAUCCGGAUUCACUGGGUUUAAAGGGUGCGUAGGUGGGCAGGUAAGUCAGUGGUGAAAUCUCCGGGCUUAACUCGGAAACUGCCAUUGAUACUAUCUGUCUUGAAUACCGUGGAGGUCAGCGGAAUAUGUCAUGUAGCGGUGAAAUGCUUAGAUAUGACAUAGAACACCAAUUGCGAAGGCAGCUGGCUACACGAAUAUUGACACUGAUGCACGAAAGCGUGGGUAGCAAACAGG
rnacentral:rRNA from 1 species